rnacentral:piRNA from 7 species
UCGACUGCAUAAUUUGUGGUAGUGGGG